UACGUAGGGACCGAGCGUUGUCCGGAAUCAUUGGGCGUAAAGAGCGUGUAGGCGGCCACUUAAGUCCUGCGUGAAAUCUUGCGGCUCAACCGCAAGCGGUCGUGGGAAACUGGGUGGCUAGAGUGCGGGAGAGGAGAGUGGAAUUCCUGGUGUAGCGGUGGAAUGCGCAGAUAUCGGGAGGAAGACCAGUGGCGAAGGCGAGUCUCUGGACAGUUACCGACGCUGAGGCACGAAGGUCAGGGGAGCAAACGGG
rnacentral:rRNA from 1 species